CCGUCGGCCGGAAGUGGCGUGUGUCACUGCUACGGAAAUCCCCGCCGUAAUGAACGUCAUCUCGCGGGCAGGGCCAGAAUCUGAGGGCAGGCAGGGCUUCAGUAGCCACUUUCGAGGGGUGGGACUGACAGUUCCGCUCCUGGCGUUUGUGAAGAUUACCUGAGACGACAGACGUCAUCGUCCUCUCUUGAGACUAUACCUCUGGUAGCCGAACUGAUGAAUAUUCAUCGCAGUAUUUCAUUUCACAUUUCAUCAUAUUCCAGAACAACAGGACCCUUCUGCCACAGAUACACCCUUCAUAUGUGGAGAAGAACGGAGUUGUUGCAGUAAACCAGGCCAGCGAUGCCAGUAAUCUGCAGUGAGGUUGUUAUAGUGGAAAUAAAAGUAAUCCAAGUUAAAAUUCUGGACUUUGAUAUCUCCUUUAUUUUUGCUACUAACAUGCCAUCAAUCAUGACAUCUUAUAGGUUCCAAUGUUUAUAGUUUCUCACACACAACUCCGUAUUUCCCUGUUCCCAACCCAGGCCUAUGUUACCAUUCACCUACAUGACUGGAGCAGCUUCAUUUCUGAUCUUGAUUUUCAGUCAAGCUGUUCCAAUACAACCCACACACUGUGGCCAGAGCAAACUUUCAAAAACUACACUGAACAUGUUCCGGCUCUACUUGAAACCUUCAAGAGGCUCUAUAGUUUAGGAGCCAAGGUCCCCAGCAGUCCAGCCCAAACCUACCCAGUCAAAUCAUAAUACUUGUAUGGUGCUUUUCCCAUCUCUCUCCCUUUGUGUGUAUUAUUCUCUCUUAUACCAUCCCUACUGGAUAUUAAUCCCCAUUUUACCUACAC